rnacentral:tRNA from 1 species
ACUUAAAUAGCUUAUGUAUAGAGCGUAACACUGAAGAUGUUAAUGAAGUUGAUUGACUUUUAAGUA